rnacentral:rRNA from 1 species
GGCUCAGGAUGAACGCUAGCGGCAGGCUUAACACAUGCAAGUCGAGGGGUAUAGUUCUUCGGAUCUAGAGACCGGCGCACGGGUGCGUAACGCGUAUGCAAUCUACCUUUACAGAGGGAUAGCCAGAGAAAUUUGGAUUAAUACCUCAUAGUAUGUGAGAAUCGCAUGGUUUUCACAUUAAAGUCACAACGGUAAAAGAUGAGCAUGCGUCCCAUUAGCUUGUUGGUAAGGUAACGGCUUACCAAGGCAACGAUGGGUAGGGGUCCUGAGAGGGAGAUCCCCCACACUGGUACUGAGACACGGACCAGACUCCUACGGGAGGCAGCAGUGAGGAAUAUUGGACAAUGGGCGCAAGCCUGAUCCAGCCAUGCCGCGUGCAGGAUGACGGUCCUAUGGAUUGUAAACUACUUUUGUACAGGAAGAAACACUCCCUCGUGAGGGAGCUUGACGGUACUGUAAGAAUAAGGAUCGGCUAACUCCGUG